UAGAAAGAAAGCUGAAAGCACUAUGGUUUCGACCCAUAAAAAGAAUUACUUAAUUCUCUUUUUAAUA
rnacentral:tRNA from 1 species